rnacentral:rRNA from 1 species
GAUAACCUACCUAUAAGACUGGGAUAACUUCGGGAAACCGGAGCUAAUACCGGAUAAUAUUUUGAACCGCAUGGUUCAAAAGUGAAAGACGGUCUUGCUGUCACUUAUAGAUGGAUCCGCGCUGCAUUAGCUAGUUGGUAAGGUAACGGCUUACCAAGGCAACGAUGCAUAGCCGACCUGAGAGGGUGAUCGGCCACACUGGAACUGAGACACGGUCCAGACUCCUACGGGAGGCAGCAGUNGGGAAUCUUCCGCAAUGGGCGAAAGCUCGACGGAGCAACGCCGCGUGAGUUAUGAAGGUCUUCGGAUCGUAAAACUCUGUUAUUAGGGAAGAACAUAUGUUUNAGUUACUGUGCACAUCUUGACGGUACCUAAUCAGAAAGCCACGGCUAACUACGUGCCAGCAGCCGCGGUAAUACGUAGGUGGCAAGCGUUAUCCGGAAUUAUUGGGCGUAAGCGCGCGUAGGCGGUUUUUUAAGUCUGAUGUGAAAGCCCACGGCUCAACCGUGGAGGGUCAUUGGAAACUGGAAAACUUGAGUGCAGAAGAGGAAAGUGGAAUUCCAUGUGUAGCGGUGAAAUGCGCAGAGAUAUGGAGGAACACCAGUGGCGAAGGCGACUUUCUGGUCUGUAACUGACGCUGAUGUGCGAAAGCGUGGGGAUCAAACAGGAUUAGAUACCCUGGUAGUCCACGCCGUAAACGAUGAGUGCUAAGUGUUAGGGGGUUUCCGCCCCUUAGUGCUGCA